UUCAUAUACAAAGAGUUAAGGUCAAAUAGAGAAUAUUAGCAUGGCCUCUCCACAAGGAUGACAUGCACAAAUCGAAAAAUAGUCUAAAUUUUU
rnacentral:snRNA from 1 species